rnacentral:rRNA from 1 species
GGCCGCGGGAAUUCGAUUAGAGUUUGAUCAUGGCUCAGAUUGAACGCUGGCGGCAUGCUCAACACAUGCAAGUCGAACGGCAGCAUAACCUAGCUUGCUAGGUUGAUGGCGAGUGGCGAACGGGUGAGUAACGCGUAGGAAUAUACCUUAAAGAGGGGGACAACUUGGGGAAACUCAAGCUAAUACCGCAUAAGUUCUGAGGAAGAAAGCUGGGGACCUUCGGGCCUAGCGCUUUAAGAUUAGCCUGCGUACGAUUAGCUAGUUGGUGGGGUAAGGGCCUACCAAGGCGACGAUCGUUAGCUGGUCUGAGAGGAUGACCAGCCACACUGGAACUGAGACACGGUCCAGACUCCUACGGGAGGCAGCAGUGGGGAAUAUUGGACAAUGGGGGGAACCCUGAUCCAGCAAUGCCGCGUGUGUGAAGAAGGCCUGAGGGUUGUAAAGCACUUUCAGUGGGGAGGAGGGUUGAUAGGUUAAGAGC